rnacentral:lncRNA from 1 species
GAGAGAAAAAUAAGAGAGAGAUUGAAAACUUAGAUAGGGACAAAAAUCCUAAAGUGCUGCAGGAGAUAGAGAUCAGAGAGGAAAACUUAGAGAGAAAACCCUAUCUAACUUAAGCCUUAUCCCCUUGAGAGAAACCCCAGAUCUACCCUUAGGACAAACCCCAGAUCUACCAGAGACUUGUUGAUCGCCAUCUGGACCAGAACGACAAGAGGAACCGUUUCUGAUACAAGUGAGCCCUAGAAGGCUCGGGAGUCCCGAGCCCUCCAGCCUGAUUUGGUAUCAUUCUCGACCCUCUGUCUUUCUUCAUUUCCUUACUUCUUUAUUUUACUCUAAUUUUUUUUUAUUAAUUUUCAUUAAAAAUCGUAUUUUUGAUAUCUUGGAUCAUGGUGGCUCCGCCACAGAUAUGAGAACAGAUCUACUCGCUUCAGGGCAGAUCUGAAUUUGAUUUGUCCCAACUUCUCUACCAUUGCUUUUCAUUUCAUUUAUCAGUUUAAAGUGUCAGAUCAUAGUGAUCUCCAUCCGAAGGGCAAAUCGAGCGUGAUACGAGCAUCAAAAUUUUGAAAAUCUCAUAAUCUUUUGAAACUUUGUAGGCAUGUUCUAGAUAUCAUUUUGUAAUUGUUUCCAAAGUUUUAGGUAAAAAUAAAAUAUUUAAAAAUACAAAGAAAAUUAUUUUAAUGUUAGAUCAGAUGUCGCCUUAUUUUAAUUUAUUUUCAUCAUGAUAUACAAGAAACAAAUAUAUAAAAAAAAUAAUGCUUUGAGCGAAAGUAGGCGUGCCGCCCUAGGCGACACAGGGUGUGCGCCCAAGUGACACGGGUCGUGCCACCCAAGUCUAGGACGACACUCUCUCUGGUUCCCCCCAUCACCCAAUUCAGAAUAUUUAAAAUUUGCAAGCUGGGUCCUGGGUGUCUUUUAUGGCUGUUCACAAAAUUUCAAAGCAAAAUAAAAUUUUUAAAAAUACCAAAAAAUAUUUUUCUUGAUACAGGUCAGUUUUAUGUGAUGUUCUUCUGUUUUACUUUGUUUUAAUUUUAUUUCAUCAAAAAGUCUGUUUUUUCUGCUUCUGCAAGUUUUAGUAGCCUUAUUUCAUCCAGAUAAACAACAUUAAAAAAAAAAAAAAAAAAUUUAUGCAACAAGACCCAUGCCGCCCGUGCGACACGGUCCUUGCCGCCCUAUCACAGAGGUCCUAGAAAACGUUCUGGGACCCCACAUGCCUAUUCCAGAGCCUUUUUGGUGCUUGUUCACCAAUUUUUUGGCUUAAAAUGAAUAUUUUAAAAAUAAAAAUAAAAACUAUUUUGCUUCAAGUAGGUCUGCUCUAUUCUUGACUUUCUGAUUUCAUUCUAGUUAGUUAAUUCCUAUUUUCCCUGCUUUCAUCAUGCUUAGUUUAGUUGUUUUUCUUCAAAUUUAAACGAAAUAUAUAUAUAUAUAUAUAAUAUUCUUUACAUUAUGUAAGAUUAAAAUUUGUUUUGGUCAUUAAUAAUCACUUUUAUUAUUUUCUCAUACUUUAAAAAAAAAAANNNNNNNNNNNNNNNNNNNNUAAAUACAACAAAAAGAAAAUUGAUUGAGGGUUGCUUACACCCUCCUUGAACCGUGUCUCGUUCGAGUUAUCCUCGACUGGGGUCACCCUAGACUUAGCACGAACUGUUCCUGGUUUCACUGCUUUGACCAUACAUUCUUAGGGGUUCCUCACCCCUUUAUCUAUAUUGUGCCUCGAGCGAGUUUCGCCUCGAAGCGCGCAUCGCUAGGCUCGAUCAGCGCCGAGCGCUUACUUGUUUUCUUUCUUAUUGUGUGCAUGUGUGCUUGACUUUAUUUUCAUUUGCGUUCUUCUUUUCACACUCUAGCACACACCGACUGAGAAUCCCGAAAAACCAGAAAACAAAUUUUUUGAAAACCCCCAAAAUUCGCGUUCUUGGCGUGAGGGGAACUUAGCAUUGAGAGCCGAGGCGGUUGGGAUUCGUGUAACUUUAACUGUGAGCACCCCUCUAUAAUCCUUUGCCUCAAAGUAACUCCGCAUAUAGUAGGACCUGGUGAACAUCCUAUAACAAGAGGUCAGGACCUAUGUGGGAACCUAUAUCAGCCUAGCUGCAUUUCAAUAGUUAGGAGCCCACUCUCAAGCCAAGCCUACCCAUAAUCAGAUUAGGUCAAACAUUUUCAUGUGCUUGCUUGCUAAUUCCUAAUUGAUUAAUCUUAGAUUCCAGUCUGAACCUGCUUUUGGUCCGAGCCGAAGCUUAUGGGUCCAAAUUCAGGCUUAUACCCAAGCUAGCCCAAGUCCGAACUAGGUUUCGCCUUGGUCUGAACCUAGGCCCCCUCUUGAUCCAAGCUGCAGACUUGUUCUUAACUCAUCUUUGAUCCAAUCCAGGUCGAUACCUGGUCUUAUCAUUAAAACACUCUGGGUCCAAGUCCAAGCUUGUACCCAGCCUAGCCCAGGUCCGAACCAGGUUCACACCCAAGUCCGAACCUAGGCCCCCUCUUAGUUUGAGUCGAAGGCGCGUUCCUAGCUCAUCUUGAUCUAGUCGAGGUCCACAUCCGGUCUGAGAUUCAAAACCACCCAGCUCAGUGCGGGUCCGAACCAGGCUCACACCCUGGUCUAAAGCUAAACCCACUCUUGUACCGAGCCGAGACUUGUGCACCAUCUAGUCUAGAUCUUAGUCUAGGUUCUAGCAUAGGUCUAAGCAUAGAGUUGCCUCUAGAGCUAGUCUAGGCUUACCUUAGUUCAGGGGCAGAACCAGAACCCACUGAGUCUAGCAAGUCUAGGUUCCAGUCUAAUCUUAGCCUAGGUCUUAGUCAGGGUUUUAUCCCUAGAGUUAGGAGAGGUCUACCUUAAAUUAUCGAUUUCAGAUCUUACCUAAACCUAGACUCUAGAACUCUGCCAAGAGCGAUCACCAUGUUAGUCACUCAAGGCGAUUAUGAUGACCGCUCCAUGGCUGACACUAAGCCCAACUUUCUCAAACCUAGGGACCACUAUGUCGCAAUCCCUUGGGAUUAUGGUCAGAACUCAGCCCAGUCCAUAAUCCGACUCCCCAGUCUCCAACUAGAGCAAGAGUCCCAAGGAUCUACUCCCAAUCCCGAGGUGUGUAUGGUUCAAAAAGCGGGCUUUGCCUAGAAAACAACGAAUAGCAAGGGGGUCCGACCGGGCGUUGUCAUACAGGGAACCUUAUGUAGCCACAAUAGGCGUCGUGUACCCUUAGGCAACCAAAGUAGGAGUCGUGUGAGGGGAGAGGUCCAUGUUGUAUCUAAUUCCCCCCAGAAGUCACACCCAAAUAACUUUGAGGCUCAGCGGUCUCAAAAUCAAAACCCAUCUAGGUCUAGGAGGUCUAACCCAACCUCGAGUCACCAUAGUACAGCCCAUGACGUCCUGAAUACGGUACGCAGCAAAGGUGCCAACCUAGACCCCUUAAGUGAGAUGCACGUCCAAGCCGGCCUUAAGAGUCUAGUUGAUCUAGGUUACACUGUCCAGCCGCAGUUCAUGGGUCGGACCUAAACCAGCCUAAGAGCAUAGGUCAACCCCUAGCACAGCCGAGUCAGCCGAUUCUUCAAUCGGUCCCUCUAAUACAUCCAGUCCAACAGACCAUGCCAUUUCUGCAACGAUGGCGACACCUAUAGGUCAGUACGCCCCUCAGGCACAAAUGUAUCAAACUGCCCCAAUAACUGCGGAUCAUCCAUCAUAAGCCUAAGCAGGCCAACAUCUACCUCAAGUCUCGACUCAUCAGUCUAUGCUUGCGAACCCACCGACCGGUGGGCCUACUCUCAUGCUGAAUACACAACAAAACGGCACCUUAAAAGCGAUACAAGAUAUGUUUGAUGGGUAUGCAUGAAAUCCUACCCCCAAAGGCCUAUGUACAUGAGACACUUGGAGGCAUGGAAAACCUUCCCCCAAGGUUUAUCACGCCAGAGUUUAAAAACAAUGACCUAGAUAUUCACGUCAACACAUACCUCCUCUCCGUCUGAGCCUUGCAAGGCAGGCCUAACCAGUUGAAGGCCUUGUUUUCACAAACUUUGACAGGUGAGGCUUUAAAUUGGCAUCGAAGAAUAAUGACCACUCAACCACACAUUACUCCAGACGAAAUGUUUAACCAGUUCGUCUCUCAUUACCGUGGGUCGACGCCAAGAUCUCUCUCCCUGGGUGAGCUUAGUGCCACAAAACAAAACCCAGGAGAAUCCUUCGAGGAUUUUAUUGGUCGAUUCCGCGAGGUAGCGAUGCAAAUCAUCGAAUGUACACUUACGAACCAAACUGAAAUCUCCAUGGCCUUAGAGAAUGCUGCUCUUGAAUACAGGACUUUCUUCAGCCAAAGCAUUAUCCCCCACUCUUUCAACUCUAUGAUCGAGCGGGUGGCACAACAGGGCGAGAGGGACACCCCUCAGCACUAGGCCCGAUAACAAACCCAUCACGACUCCCUAGAAUAAGAGCAAGAGAAAUGGUAAGGGGAAUGUUUCCGAUCAGGUUAAUGAGGUUGUCAUGAAUAGCCCAGCUCAAGGUUCAGCCACCUAGCAUAACAAUAGGAAUCACAAUCGAAGGGGUCAGCCUAGAGCUAACACUCAAAAUAAAAAUCGAUGGCUAGAGAACAACUUCAUUCCUCUCAAAGACCCGUUAGAAAAAGUGUUGGAGUUACUCUUGAAGAAAAACAUGGUUCAACUCCCGCCACCAUCUGAACCACCAUUUGAGUUUAAGGAUAAGAACAGAUGGUGCAAGUAGCUUAGAAACCAUGCUCAUGAUACCCAAACCUGUUUCUAUUUGAAGAGGGUGAUUCAAGGGUUGAUCAAUAGGGGCGACAUCACUGUUGGACCUAGAAAGGAAUCUAAUCAAAAGAUGAGUAUCUUCACAAACCCUCUCCCAAAAAAUACGGCUAUAAUGACCUAAUAAAGGGGAGCUCCGAAUAACUCAAAGGAGAGUGUUAUCAUUCAUAUGAUUGAGAACAGAGACAACGAGGAUGAUCCUAGUCAAUUCAUAUUCGUUGGUGAUCAUCACCUCCAAGAGGCUAAAGAAUAUCUUAUGAGUCUUAGAGGAAACUCUUCGUCCCCGAACUCUGAUGACCCUCCUAAGUGGGACCAGUAUGAUGAAGAUGAUAUCCUAGAGAUUGACAUGGCCAGAGCUAAUUAGAGGGGGUCAUCUUUCAAACGAGGGGCCAACACCCCGAAGUUCCCCCUAUGCAUCCAAAUAAUGGGCCAACACCUCAAAUGUCAAAAGAAUUCGAACCUUUGGAAAUUCUAAGGGGCCCACUCAGGCCACCUUCACAAGAUUUUUUGCGUGAUCCACCAAUCUGGGAUCAAGAAUUGAAUAUUGAAAAUUUGAUCGUAUUAUCUCCUCAAGAGGCAGGCUCUCUAAAAGUCAUUAACAACAUGAGCACAACUUUGAUAACCGGAGCACCACCAUGUCAAGAGAAUGCAUCCUGUGAAGAGUAAGUUCUCAACGGAACAAAAAUCAUUGGAGUGGCAACCCCAUCAAAAUAUUCAAUAGGGGCAAAUUCCUCUCAUGAAGAGGAUACAAUAGGGACAACUAAUGAGAUUGAACCCUUGUUUAUUGAUUCCCAACACGUCAUAAGGAUGUUUAAUACAACUGGGGCAAUUAAUGAGAUUGAACCCUUCUUUGUUAACUCCCAACAUGUCGUAAGGCCAUCUAGUACCAACUCAACCACUCCUCUUGUGUGAGAGUCUCAUCUAAGCUCGAGUACUGAAAAGGAGUCUACUACGGAGUUAACCCCUGAUAAACAAUUCGAAAUUUGCAAUGAAAAAGAUUACCGAAAAGGAAUUGGGUGAUCACUCACCCCUUGCAAAUAACCAAAUGAGGCAUUCAUGCCUCACACUCCAGAAGGCAUUAACGCCUAAUGUGUAACAUAAAGUACUCCAUUAACAGGAAAACCCUGAUGAGUCUAACCGUCCAUACAGAAGACUGAGGGAUUAGGAAACUAAGAGUAAUUUUUAGUCCCAAAAUCAAGGUUCAAGUGGAAAAAUUUAAUGGAAAACGGAGAUUCAACAACCAUUGUUAAAAAGAUUUUGGAUUCCAACCUGGGCCAACGGAAAUCAGAGGAAGACCGAUAUUAGAACCUCCAUACCACUUGGAGGAGGGAAAGAUGAUCGACCAUACGCGAUCUUAAGGUUAAUUGCUAAAAAGAAAAAGAGAGUCACAUUGGACUCUUCUUUCCCCUCCUCUUCCUUUGUCAUUAUUUUCUUCUUCUUCUUCGAAAAAAGAAAAAAAAAAAUGAGAACAAGAAAAAGAAAAGAAAAUCUCAUCCGCUGGGCUAAAAUCCGAAAAAUUUCCCAAGCGUUGGAAAGAAAUGUCACCGAGCUGAAAAUCCGAUAGGAAUCCCGGGGCGAUGAAAAAUGAAUAAAAUGAAAAUCUGAUCCGCAGGGCUAAAAAUUUGAAAGGACCCCCUAGCAUUGGCAAAAAUUUCACUGGGCUGAAAAUCUGAAAGGAACCUCGGGGCGAUGAGAUAAAACCAAGAAACUCCCUCUUUCCGCUCUUCAAAGUCUUUUGUCUCUCUCCCCCCGAGUCAAGGUGGUGUUAAAGGAAAAUCAAUGAGCAUUAGCUUAACGGAUUAUUGUAGGGGUCCUAGAUCAUGUGAAACUUCGAAAGGUGAAUACUAGAGGAACAAAAUCGUAAAUCCAAUGAGAUCCUGAACAUUUAGGGGUAGUAUAUUGUAUUUUCAAAACUCUGCUUUGCUCGAAACUCUAGAAAACGCUCCUUUGAAUUACAACAUAAGAGUUGAGAUUAAAAAAUAAAUGAACACUUAAAUGAUUCCUCAUCCCAAAGUGUCAAGCAAGGAUCUGACACACUCAUAUAGGGCCCACCAAAAGUGUCACAAGUGGUUAACUGAAAGACCUACAGCAAAAGAAAACCACCUCCCUGUAAAGCAGCAAGAAAACAAACACCUCACAACGGGGACAAGAAAAAAAAAGAAAAAAGAAAGGUCACAUUAUGGAUAUUGAAUCCUCCUCGACCCCUGCUGUACGACUGCUCGCCUCUCCCUCCAAUCUCAGUCGAACCCGCCUCAGACCCCUCGUCAUCUGAGUACACGCCUGAGACUGUGAUUGACUUUGAACAGAAGAUGGUAAUGGCACCCUCACAUAAGGAUUCACAUUUGCCAAAGAGGGGUUUCCACCUACAGCCAAUAGGAGUCCUGAUAGUCUGCCACACCUGUCCAUAAGACCCUUCACGUCCUCCUUAAGCUCAUGACAUUCAUCUUUGGUCGAAUUCUGUAGAAACAACAACAUGAAAUGAGAGAGGUUGUGAUAUAUAUAUAUACAUAAAAAAAGAAAAAAAAGAUAUAUAACAGCAAAGCAUACCCUCUCUGAUCGAUAGCGGUCUACACGUCUCUCUAAAUCUCUAAUGCGGUCGAGAGAUGGUCCAGGAAGAGUAGGAGCAACAAAAGAGGAGAAUGGUACUAAUCGUACUCUCUCCAGCUCAUCCCUCAGGGAGUCACGCUCCGCCACCAUCCUGUCAAAAUUCUGGCGCAGAUGCUCGAAAUCCUCUGCUAUCGAAUCCCGCUCCUCGACCGCUGAAUCACGCUCGGCAUGAAGGGAAGCGACUUCAUCAGUAGACGAUCGGUCCUCAUCAAGAUAAGCAGUCCUCAGCUCCUGCAUCACCCCCUCAUCAUGUUCGGUUAGAGUGGCUAUAUCUCUAAAAAGAGCCUUAUAUCUAUCCUCAUAUUGAGACAGAGAGAUACCCUCCUCUUCCUCCUUGCCAAUAACUCGCGUAGCCCUACUCCCCCAUUCCUCUAUCUAAGGAGCCAUCCGUCUCAGAUAGAAAUCCUCAUCAGAGGUGCUAACCACAAUGGGAGUCCAGAGCAGGGUAAUCUCAAAGGACGUCUGAGGAAGGCCACGCUGAUGGCAGACUCGACCAGGGAAAGUGGGCAUCACCAGAAACAUGCAAAUCAGGUGAACCGUCAUCCUAAAAGCUUGAGAAGAAGACUCGUAAACAACAGGGAUGGGCUCAACUCUCAUGGGAGUCCAGUUGAUUUGGAAAUUAAAAAAGGAUAUGUCAAAGUUGAAUAAAGAAGGAGAAAGGGGGGAAGAAGAAGAAGAAAAUAAAGAAAUAACAGAUAAAGCACAUAACUCCCCUCCCCUAUGGCCUGAGUGUCCAAGAACAGCAAGUAAUACAACGGCGAAGGGAUCCUCUAAGAAUCCCACACUCCAUAUGACCAGCAAUGAAUUGUCGGGAAUGAUGAUGCCAAUCGACUGGGAAGAGGGUGAGGAAUGGUGAUGUGCUCCCACGCCCAGACCAAGAGGAAGAUCGAACAACCCCCCAAGAAGCGGGCUCCUCUGGCCACACUACAAAGGUGAUUAUGCAGCCAGCCCAUGAUCGCUGGACCGCACGCCACUCACUCCAAGUAAUCUAUCCACCUGGUCACCCAAACCACUUACAAAUGCGCUCGACCCUGGCGAUGGUAGCGCCAUGCAUGAGUUUCUUUCUCCCUCUCUUCAUUCGCCUUUAUCUCUUGAUCAAGAUCGCAGAUGACACUGCUCAUCGCUGUUUGCAAGUGUAUCCUUGACGUCUUGCGUGAACGCAAACGGCGAUGCCUAUCGCCGCUAGCAGGGGUCUAACCCUGUUACUUGCCUAUUGGAGACGGCAAUGCCUAUCGCUGCCCAUGAAGGGCAGUGACAAUACCCAUCACCGUCUGUGAGCUUCUCUCUUACGCCCUGUGCCUAUCGUCAUGCUCAGGCCUCUUUUGUGCGCUUGGUGCCUAUCGCCGUGCACUAGCUUCCUUUGUGCGCUCGGUACCUAUCGUCGUGCAUAGGCUUCUUUCACGUGCUCGGUGCCUUGCCGUGAGCUAGCUUCUUUUGUAUGCACGGUGUCUAUCACCGUGAGCAAGCUCCUUUCGUGCACUCGGUGCCUAUCGCCGUACACUGACUUCUCUUGCGCCCCAUGCCUAUCGCAGUGUGCCUCACCAGAAGCUUUCGCCGCCUGCAUGAGACGUGCUACCUUCUCGUGUUGCCAAUGGUGAUGCGGCCUGCGAAGGGAUGUGCUACCAACGGUGAUGGCUAACGUCAUCUGCAGUUUGCUGCCUGCCCCUUUCACCAUGAGCAGCAGUGUCCAGCACUGUCUAGUUGUCGAGCAGUAUUGCCAUCGUGCUGGUCCUGAACACUAUGCCCAUCUUGCUGUCACACCAGAUUAGAACAGUUAUAUCGGCCUUAGUUUCAAGUAGUAUUGUCAUCGUGCUGGUCCAGAGUACCAUGCCCAUCUUGCUACCACUCCGAGUCGGACACUGGUCUAGCUAUCAUGCUAGUCUCGUCCCCUUACCAAGUUUUCUUCUCUUUUCUAGCUUUAUUCGAACCUACCACUUCAUCACCUUAACUUCUAAAUGUGCAUUACCCUAAGACAAGGGUGGGUCCUUGGGCCAACUUGUCUCGCAAGUUAACCAUGAUAGUGUUGUGCAUAAAAUAACGAGAUUGCAGGUCAAGAGAGGCGAUUUCGAACCAGCUGAAGUAGCUGGGGGCCUUUCUGUCAUGAUUUAAGAGAGCGCCCACGCGAGUCAGCCCGAAUAAGUUACGGACCCAGGUGAGAUUGGUCCCCACCUCAUGUUCAAAAUUCCUCUCUCACUAGUUGGGCACCUGCCCUUAUUCUGUGAACAAGGUUCUCGAGAGAGCGAUCUCUCCUCCCGAGUCUUCCAAACCCGAGACACGUGUCACCUGAUCACCUAGAUCCAGAGAGGCAAGGUCGGGGUACUUAACCAGCUUGGUGACUCCACUGGGGACUUAUUACCUCUUCGUCGGUUCACUCUUGCUUGAUCACAUCACCUUUUAAUUUCUGCAUUGCAUUCAUGACAUCUGGGUUAUUCAACCCGUUCAUCCGAGUUGGGGAUUUUCUCAUCCCCGCAGUCGUGACUGCCUCGGGGAAGAGAGCUUCGUUUUCCACGCUCCUCUUGAGUCAGGACACAUGGUCGAGCUCCUAUGUUCUUUCCUGGAUUGGUAAGAUAAGGGACUUUAAGGUCCUUAACUCCCCACUUUCUAGUCUUGGUGGACCCUCCACCAGGGCCCUUCGCAUUGGUAGCACGUCUGCUACCACACACAGCACCCACCCUGCUAUUGGCAAGUCCCUUGUCAUUCACAUUGCUGAGGUACAUCGAAAGGCUGCCCUGUCUGCUUUCGUGAAAGGCAAGCAGGUUGCUAUCGCUCUUGAGGGUCGCCGCAAGGCCACCCCCCAUACUUCUUCACCACCCCGAACCUUUAUGCCUAGAGGCUCGACACACCGAUGGAAAGAUCUUAGGAGCUCCACCCCUCGCACACACCUAAAGGCUCAUGGUCCUACCACUCGAGCCACACCUCGAGGCAACUUUCAUGCUGCCUUGAGUUCGCGUCCAAGGCUAGGACUUCUUGAGGUAAACCCUGCACGUGUCAGGCAUCUGCAUCCCACAGCUCGGGGUAGCGUCAGUUCUGUGCCAGCUCAAGUACACAGGGGUCAACCAGUUCCUCCUCCAUCUCAACACAAACGGCUUCACCCUGUGAGAGAUAGGCUCUUACCCGGUUCCUCACAGACAAGAGCUUGUAGGUAUUGGCCUCAUAAGGUCGAACCAGCUGACUGAGCCCGGGCUGACCCCCAAGUCACCUAGAGGGGUACCUCUAAAGGUGCACAUGCACCAGCUGUAUAGGUUCCUCCCUAAUCCUGACUCAGGUGGAGUCGAGAUCCAGUUCCUUCUUCUAUCGCCCUUCCUUUGUCGAGAAAACACCUCUAGACCCGGUACUCAAAAGGUUUUCCCUAAGAGUACGAUCUUGAGUCAGCCACCUCAGAUCAGCCAUGCACCCAGACCUCACAAGGGAGCUCGAGGCAAAGGCCUGACGGCAGAUAGAAGUCUACAGCUUCCAAGGAAGCAGCCCAGAUUGCCCUCCAUCCUUAGACCUCACUCUAUGCUCCAGCUGAUAGACACAACCCUUGCAUGCUUGAGAAAGACGGGGCAGUCCAAGUCUCAGGCUCCAUGUUGCACUGAAGUCUAUUGCAGCCUCAAGAUCAAGCAGAAGAGAGGCCUGCAGCCCCUGAAUAGAGAGGCCCCUAAGGCAGUUGAGGUCACCAUUCUUGAUGACCUCCUGCCUCACAAUCCAUUCUUCCCUCUUCGAAUUCUAGAGCCUGGGCAAGAAAUCCAAAAAGAUUGCUCAAUGGUUACCGUCACUGGAAAAGUCCUAGCAGCCAAGAAGUCACUGUCCCAAUACAGUUAAAAAACGGUCCUCACACGGUCGGCGUACAAGACUCAAGUCCAGUAUGGGCAUGUUGAUCCCCUACAGACUGACUUUCCUCGUACGACUUGACAACAGUGGCAGUCGACUUCUCUACCUAGCUCUGACCUUCCAGAAGAAACGAUCAGUGUCAUGGUGAUCAACAAGCCGGAUGAUGCCCAAGAAGAGCGGAUGAACAGGUUCGAGGUGAUGAUGCAAUCCAUUCUCAAAAAGAUGGAUCACUUGGAGGCCUCCAAGUCCCCUGCUUCUCCUCCUCAUCAUGAGGCCAAUUCCCAGUUUGGAGAGGACACAACUCCUAAACAAAUUCCCCCACCAGCUUCCCAAGACAGCUAUGCUCCCUGCACGGUCUCGCAAGCUGAUAUAGAUGCCAUGGUGACCCACAGUCUCAAGAAUAAUGUCUUGGGCAUGCAAGAGGCACCUCUCUACCAAAAUUCAUACCCCUCGUACAUCGAUCAGGUGCCGUUUCCCCCAAAAUAUAAAAAACAGAAGCUCCCCCUGUUCAAUGGUACUACGUCCCCGCACCAGUAUACCGCUCACUUCCAAGCUGCUUGUCGAGAGACAGCAACUGAUGGGUGACUUCUCCUCCGUCAGUUCAUCGAGACUCUCGAAGGUCCAGCCUUCCAGUGGUAUGCUCGGUUGCCGCCAAACUCGGUACACACAUGACAACAAAUGGAGCAAUUAUUUUACCGACACUUCUAUGAAGUCUAGAGAAACAUGGAAACCAUCGAGCUCCUCAGUCUGACUCAAGACCCUGGUGAGCCAGUUGAUAAGUUCAUCGCCUGAUGGAGAGACUUGCCAACCUGUCAUGCCACUCCCACGACUAAAAAAGAAGCAGUUUAGACCUGCAUACGAAAUAUGCUACUUGAGAUUGCUCUGCAUGUUGAGGUUUCCAAUCCACCCUCCAUGUCAGAGCUCAUCGCUAAAGCAGUUCGUAUAGAAGGUCUGUCCAAGCACCAUGGUGGAUCUCAUCAACAGCCCUCUAGCUCGUGAAACGAUCGGGGCAAUGACAAUCAUCACUUCAGCAAUUGGGGCAACCAGCAAAAAGAGAUGAUUAGUGCGGCUGUCACCGUGAUCGACACUAAGAAAGCCGCCCCUCAAACCUUGGACCACUCCAAGGCGCAAACACCUCAAGCUGGAGGAAAGUAGCAACAGUCCUAUAACAGGGUCCCGCCUCCUAAGAAUAUAAAGCGAAGUGACUACUGGAUCCUACACCAAAACAAGGUGUACCCCUUCAAGAAGGAGUGGAUUCUUGCGCUGCUUCGAUUACUACUAGAGCAAAACAUGAUUCAAUUGUCGGAAGUCAACUCCUCAGAACAAGUUGGAUAGGAGACACACGAGAGGUACUGCACUUUUCAUAGGAGAGUAGGCCAUCCUACCCAAGACUAUUAUAUGCUCAAAGACAUUAUCGAAACCCUUAUUAAGAAGGGCCAGAUAAAGCUCAAAGAGCUAAAGAAAUCAUUUGGGGAAACUAAUGCUUCCCACAUAGUGAAAAUCCAAGAGGAUGAUGAGGCACCCACUGUCCUCCAUGCACUAUUCUCCAUAAUGCUCAAAGAAGGUCUCAUCACGAUAAAGCCAACAAGGUAGCCCAAGUUCCUGCCUCUAGGAACUGAGAACCUCAGGUGUCCACAUCAUACGAUACGAGGCCUUGACCUGAGAGAAUGUACUGGCUUCCACGAGCUCUUAGCAAAGAAGAUGCAACAGCACCAAGAAGUUCAUGGUAACGCAGAAGGACAUCCUCAAGUCCCAGGUUCACCAGUGCAAGAAGACCUCUCGAUACCAGCCCAGUAAAGUAUGCUAGACCCUCUUCGAGGUGAUGCUCCAACAGGAUCUCAUCACUCCCAAGCCCACUAGACAACCUAAGCGUCUUACCCAGGGUACAAAAAAUCUCUGGUUUCCAUAUCAUCAGGUAUGGGGCCAUGAGUUUGGAGAAUGCUUUGGAUUCGAAGCUAUAGUCUCGAAAAAAAUACGAGAAGUUCACAUUGUCUGCACCGUUCUCCCAAAAUGCUUCCAAGCCAUCACUCCUGCCCAAGAGGAAAUUCCACUCCAGGUCCCCUACGAGGAUAUUUCAUACCCUUGUUAGGUGCCUCGAUCUCACCUCCCUGGAUCUAGGUGAUCAGGUGACACGUGUCUAGGGUUUGGAAGACCCGGGACCUGAAACCACUCUCUUGGGAACCUCGUUCAGUGAACAAGGGCAGUUGUCCAACUGGUGAGAAAUGAAUUUUGAACGUGAGGUGGGGACCAACCUCACUUGGAUUCGUGACUUACUGGGGCUGACUCGUGCGGGUGCCCUUUUAGAUCACUUCGGAAAGCACCCCAGCUGCUUCAUCUCGUUCGAAAUCUCCUCCCUUGACCAGCAAUCUCCUUAUUUUUUGCACAAUACUAUCAUGAUUAACUUGCAAGACAAGUGGGCCGAAAGAUCCACCCUUGUCUUAGAGCAAUGCACAUUCAAAAGUUAAGGUGAUGAAGUGAAGGGUUCGAAUAAAGGUAGAAAAGAGAAGAGAACUUGAUAAGGUGAUGAGACUAGCAUGAUAGCUGGAUCAGUGACCAACUUGGAGUGGUAGCAAGAUGGGCUUGGUACUCAGGACCAGCACGACGGUAAUACUACUCAAAACUACGGCUAAUAUAACUAUCAUAAUCUGGUGUGGCAGCAAGACUAGCAUGGUACUCAGGACCAGCACGACUGCAAUACUGCUCAACAGUUAGAUCGCUAUGACAAAAUUAGACUAAGUCUACUACUUAAUCAAGCAAGAGUAAAGAGAAAAGAGAUGAAAAGAGAAUGAAAAGAAGGUGCUAAACAGCAAAGAGGGAGGGUCCCGACGGCAUUUAGGCAUCGCCACCCAAUCAUGGAGUAACAGUAUAGUGACCACCAAAUGGCACUGGACACUGCUGCUAUAGGGGCAGGCAACGAACUACAAACGAUGUUAGCCGUUGGCAGCACAUCCCUUUGCAGGCGGCUAUAGGCAUCACCGUUGACAACAUGAGAAGGCAUCACAUCCCUUGAGGGUGGUGAUAGCUUUUGGUGAGGCGCAUGAUGAUAGGCGUGGGGCGCAAGAGAAGCUUGUGCACGACGAUAGGCACCGAGCCCAUGAAAGAAGCAUGUGCACGGCGAUAGGCACUGAGCACAAUAAAGAAGGCGACGCACGGCGAUAGGCAUCGAGCGCGCAAAAGAGGCCUGUGCAUGGCGAUAGGCACUGCACGCACGAAAGAAGCUAGGGCACGACGAUAGCCAUCAAGCGCGUGAAAGAGGCCUGCGCGCAGCGAUAGGCACCGAGAGCAAGAGAGAAGCUUGUGGGGGGCGAUGGAAAUUUUCGUGACCCUUUGCGGGUGACGAUAGGCAUCGCCAUCUACAAUAGGAACGCAACAGGCUGAGCCCUGCUGGCGACGAUAGACAUCAUCGUCUGCGUUCACACGAGAUGUCGAGCACACAUCUGCGAACAGCGAUGAGUAGCACCGUCUGCGAACCUCGUCGAGAGCUGAUGGCGAAUAAAGAGAGGGAGAAAGAAACCCAUGCAUGGCGCUGCCAUCACCAUGAACGACCUGUGAAGCCACAGGAAGGGAAGGAAAGAAAGAAAGAGGCAGGCGCGGCACUGACAUUGCCAUGCAUAGCCUCUAAGAAAAACUCUGAAAAAGAAGAAGAAAGGGAAGAAGAGGAGGCAGAGAAGAGAGAGAAAAAUAUUUAUCUUAAGCGGUGACCCAAUGAUGAGAAAAGAUGGAAAUUUUAUAAAGCAGAGUUCCGUCUUAGUACAAUGAUAGUACGUGAUAUAUGUAGAGUUUUACCCAAACAUGGGUGAAUUGAUUAAAACUAAACCUAAUUGUUGAAAAUUAAGAUUUAAUUGAAUUAAAAGAAAUUGUAAAAAUGGGUGAAAAUUGACAUAUUUGCCCCUAUUUCAACUAAAAUUUGACCCCUGGGGAUUUUCAACAGUGUCGGAUCUAAUGGUGGUGGUCCCAUGGCUGUUUGAUGCUCCAAGAGGAGGGUUCUAGUUAUAGUGUUCCUUUUCAAGGUGUUAGAGGUUGAUUCUGUCGAAACUGUUUCUCAGUCUACUCUACCUUAGACAUGUUGGAAUGAGAAAAAAAUUGGCAAAAGACUUUUUAGUGUCCUUAUGAAGAUCUUGACAAGUUUCGGGGGAAUUAUGAGACUGUUGAAAUUUCCACUGUUUGUCAGGUUUUUUUGACUGACUUCUCUAUUUUAUUCCACAUGGGUAACCCAUGGUGCUGAAAAAACCCAUGGUGCUGAAAAAUUUCUUCAAAGAGCAUGCCCCACCGAAUGUUGUGCUUCGAGAGAAGCGAGAAGUACAACAUUUGAAAAAUUUCCUAUGGCUUUAUUUCUUUUUUCUUCCUAGCCACAGGACCAUGUGAACGCUGAGGAGAUCCACACAAUGCUGUAACUAGGAUGCUCAUACGUUUGGAUGCAAUGUACAAGUCCAUCCAUGAAGACUUUAGUAGGAGAGGAGACUUUUGAGGGAUCUGUGGAAGUCCUCACCCUCAAGGGACUAUUUGUGAUCCUGAUAAUUGAGGAUUUUUUAUGGACCUCGUUGGUCAGAAUCAGACCUAUAUGGCGGCCAAGUGCCAUGCUACAGGGCACUAUGACCAAAGAGCCUUUGGUCGGCGUUGUUUUCUACUAUACUAGGUUUGCUUUCGACAAUGAGGGUACCUCAAAGUGAGUCGAAACUACUACCAUACUCACUCAAUGGCCUCUACAGACUGCCAUUCAUCACAAUUACGGUCCAGCUGUAUGACCCUAAACUAUAGUGCACGUCCUGGCUGCAUGACGUUAAAAAGUUUUGCACAAGUCUCGAAGGCAUGAACCUAAACACCCCUUCACAAAAAAAAGGCAUGGUGUACACUUGGACAAGGGAAUGCCAUGAGUAAAAAUGACGAUGGGCAUGGUCAAGAAACCAUGAGUAAGAGAGUUCUGUGGAAACAAAAACUAUGGCACGGUUAAAUCUCCAAAUGGGCAUCGUGAGCAAAUACGGAUGAAAAGGGUGGACAUGACUGCAAGGUCAUGGGUAAAAGAGCCCAGAAAUAACAGAAGUUGGUGAAAACCGUCUUUACGGCGCCACUUCUCAUGUUCAAGUGAAAACCCGUAAAAGGGCACUUGGACCUACAAAACAAGUUGAUGCACUAUCGUUGCCUCAGCUGACACUCAAUUUUCAAACAGGCAUAAUUUCAUUGAGGUCUACAAAAUCCUCAAAUGGAAGCAUCCAAUCAACAACACAAAUUGGCUCAUCAGGGAGUGAGAUCCACAUAAGAUCUCUCACAUUUCAACAUUAACAACCCAAAUUGGCUCAUCAGGGAGUGAGAGACACAUAAUAUCUCCCACAGUUCAACAUCAACAAUAACAAGAGUCCUAGAAGGUGAGGAUGAUGACCAAAAUAUCCCUUUGGAACGCUAGAAAACCGUCACGAAGGCAAGAAUAUGACGAAGCUAGGGUCUAACUUGCCAGAGACUUCAAGGUAUUCUUCACCAUAACAGAGAUACCCUGAACAUCAAAAUCAAACCUGGUGUAGCAGUGAACAAUGCCGACCAAAUGUUCAUAUCAUUUGGCCUUCGCAUAGGCCUGAUUAUGUUCAAGGAGGCCCCUACAAAGGCCUGACACUUCAGAAUCGCAAAUAGUCCCUUGAGGGUGAGGACUUCAACAAGAUCCAUCAAACUUCCUGAAUGAUUGCACUUCUCGAUUCUCUUGAAGUACAACAUUCGGUGGGGACAUGCUGUUGGAAGAUAUUUUCAUCAUCAUGGGCCCUCUGCUCAAUAAAAGCCUAACAAACAGUGGAAAUUUCAACAGUCUCAAAACAACCCUAAAAUUGGCCAAGAACUUCAUGAGAUCUCUCAAAAGUCUCCUACUAAGUUUUGUAGCAUUUCAACAUGUAUAAGGCAUUGCAAACUGAGAAACAAUUCCAGCAGAAUCGACCUGUUGCACCCUGAAAUGGACCCUAUAACUAGAGCUACAUUUUCGAUAUCUUAAUUUACUAUGAGACCACUACCAUUGGAUCCGACAUGGUUGAAAAUCCCCAAGGGUCAAAUUUCAUCUUGAACAGACACUUCAGGAAGAAGUUAUAGGCAAAAACGUUAAACAAGAGGAGCCGCACGCUAUUCCCGUGCGGCCACCCUGCAACUCCACACCAUUGAAGGUACAGCCAUGACCAGUGACUUUCGACGCUCUUAUCCCACUCGUCUGAGGUCGGAUCAAGCCCAAAUUUUGUUAGCGCAUUCGUCUCAUCAAGAAGAACGUUUCAAUAUGUGUCACGCCCCAUGACGACUCCCAAGCGCAAAGAAAAGCUAGAGAGAAGUUGCUAAUCCAUGAAGAAAGUGCAGGAAAAUCAGCAGCGUCGUGCCUCGCUCGAGUGGCCAAAUUGUGUCGCUCUCAAGCUCGAUCGAUGCAAGACUAAUGCCUUCAUGUGUGUAAGGUCUCGGGGUAUCUCUGACCCGAACCUCGUACAUGAUGAAAGGACAGAUUCUGUACACGAAGCCAAUGAAGUGACUACAAAUUCUGUCGCUGGAAUUUCAUAUUUCAGCCAAAAUUCCAAAGUGGCAAAAUCUUCAUUCGGGCAUGGAAUCGAGCUGCGUUUGUUGCCCAGCGAUCGUGACGGCAUGCUCAGUGUACGCCAGCGAAGAAACCACAGAAAGACAUUAAGGAACAAACACACAAUCGAUCCAAAGUUUCAAGAUUCAUUCAAAUUUCAAUUCACAUGAUCGUGCCCUAAAAACACGAUCCAUGGCUCGAAGUUGGUAUCAAAUCGAUCGCCAUGCCUAGCCCUACAAGAAAACAAUCAUCUUUCAAUCAACCGGGCAUCAGAAUGACCCCAGAUCAUCCAUGCAAGAUCACGCAAGUUUUAGGGCAACACAGGGACUGUUAUGAAAUUCCAGAAAUUGUUAAGAAGGGGCAAAUCUAUCAUUUUGCACCCUAUUUUCUAUUUAUUUUAAUUUAAUUUAAUCUUAAUUAUCAGUAAUGAGGGUUAAUUUUGAUCAUCCACCCAUGUUUGGGGUAAAAUUCUAUAUAUACAUUGUACCAUCAUUGUACGCAAAGAACAGAAAAAAGGACUCAAUCCCUCACAAAAGAGAGUUUUAUCUAAUACAAUUUCUCUUUCUUCUCAUUGUUGUGUCACGUUUAGAGACAGAGAGUAAGGUGAGAGAAAUGUUUGGACCGAUACCCUUAGGAGUGAGGUAAAUCUUCUUUCUCUUCUUUUUCUUUUCUUCUCUCUCUUCCUCCCUUUCUUCUUCCUCUUCUUCGUCUGAGCUCUUCUCAGAGGCCAUGCACAGCAGUGCCAGUGCCAUGCAUGCCUCUCCUACAGCCUCACAGGUCGCUCAUGGCGAUGGCAGCGCCAUGUGUGAGCUUCCUUCUCUCUUUGUUUUAUUCUCCAUCUCCAUGCGAGACUAGCAGACGGCGCUGCUCAUCGUCGUCUGCAGACAUAUCCUUGCUGUCUCAGCGAGGAAUGUGGGUAGCGAAGCUUAUUGCCAUCUACAAGGGCUUCACUCUGUCAUGUGACUAUUGCAGUUAGCAAUGCCCAUCAUCGUCUGCAAAGGGUCGCGGCAAUACCCAUUGCAUGUAGGCUCCGUCCGCGCCUCUCUGUGCCCAUCGCCGUGCAUCUCACGAGAGGCAAUUGCCACGCGACCCAUGAGACGUUAUCGUCAUGUAUCGCCGCCCGCAAAGGAUGUUUUGUCUUCUCGCGUUGCCAAUGAAGAUGCUUAUCGCCGCCCGUAAAGGAUGUGUUGUCUUCUCGCACUGCCAAUGAAGAUGCUUAUCGUCGUCCGUGGGCUUCUCUCAUAUUCUACAUCAAUCGUCUUGUGUCUUGUGGGGAGCUAUCACCAUGAGCCUCACCAGAAGCCAUCACCACCCGCAAUGGGCACGAGGUCUUGUCAUGAUGCCAACGGAGAUGCCCAUUGUCGUUCAGGCUUCUCCCCCUUUGCCGUCUCGCUCUCUUUCUUUCUCUUCACCCUUUUCUCUCCUCACUUGAUUGAGGGUGGAGUUAACCUAGCACUGCCAUAUUGGCCUUGGUUUCGAGUAGUAUUGUCAUCAUGCUGGUCUUGAGUAUCAUGCCCGUCUUGCUACCACUUCGAGUCGAUCACUGUCUGGCUAUCAAGCUAGUCUCAUCCCUUCAUCAAGGUUUCUUCUCUAAUCGACCUUUGUUCGAACCUUCCUCCUCAUCACUCUAACUCCUCAUGUUCUUAGCCACACGGAUGUGCAAUGCCCUAAGACAAGGGUGGGUCUCUUUCGAACAACUUGUCUCAUAAAUUAACCAUAGUAGUAUUGUGCAGAAAAACAAGGAGAUUACAGGUUAAGGGAGGCGAUUCCGAACCAACUAUAGCAGCUGGGGGGCUUUCCGACGUGAUUGAAGAGGGUGCCCACUCAAGCCAGCCCAAGUAAGUCCCGAACCCACCUUAAAUUCCUUUCUCAUCGGUUGUUAUACCUGCCCUUGCUCUCGAGCAAGGUUCCGUGAGAGUGAUCUUUAAUCUGGGGUUCAUUAGAAACUCGAGAUACGUGCCACCUGAUCAUCUAGAUCCGGAGGGCGAGAUCGAGGCAACUAACUAAGCACUCAUACAUUGUUGAAGCUGCAUGACUGGUUCAAUCUCUGUUCAAACUGUUCGGUCUGAUAGUAGCUUUGUAGGGGUUACCCUAUUGUAAUUAUGUGUUUGAGGUGGUUGCUACUAGGGCUCCCCUUGACUCCUGGGUUGUAACCCACAAGAGGUAUCUAAUGGUUGGAAAGGAGCAACAUUAGCUGGGUGUUUAGGAUGAAGAGGCGUGGCAGUGACUACUGUGCUGACUGGGUUUCGUUGUUGCCUAACAUGAGGUUUAGAUCUAGUAUUGACAAGAUUACGAGUUUGACCUUCCCCUGAGGUCUGAGCUUGAUUUCCCUCGUGAUGCCUUAACAGGCUUUUGAUUUUAGUUGCCUUUGUGAUCAUGUAGGAGAAAAUGAUGGGAUUAGAAGCUUCGACAUGAAAGGAAAUUUCUUUCUUCAUGUUCCUUACACACGAUUGUACAGCAUCAAUCUCAGUCAUAGGAUUGGUCUAGAUUACUCGCUCACUGACUCAUUCAUCUUCAGAUUCAUUGUGAGAAGUUCUAUUGCUUGAACAUUUAGUUUUGCUUCAUAAAACCACUUGUAAAACAUCUGCUCCAUCUCUUCGCAGGAAUGAACUGAGAAGUAGUCUGGAGUUCGACACCGAUUCAUGGCAUGCUGACAUGAAAUGAGCCACGUGCUGCUGAUGCGAGCCCAUGCCAUCGAAGAUUGGAAACCAUCCUUUUUUAUAUCCGAUUGGAAAGGGAAUUUGAUGAAUAAAAGGCGGGAAAGGUUUUUUGUAAUGGACACUUUCUUGUGUCUUUGAAGCUUGUACUAGAUGCUUUUAUUGAUCAUUCUUUGGACGUCUUCCUACGUGACCACCGAGGGCACAUCUUGAGAGGAUUCGUUGGGUUCGUCAUAGAAAAAGACUUGAGGGUUUAGAGGUCUUGGGGUUCAAGAUAUAGGAGGAGGGGGAGGUCUCUCUUCUUCUUCACGUUGACGUUCGAGAGGGGAAUUUUCCUCUUGAUGGGAAGGCACAGCGGGUUGAGCAUCUUCGAGUCCCUUGAGCCUGUCCAUGAUGUUCUUUAACAUGUUCUCGAAAUGUGCCAUUGGAUUUUCAGGUCCAUGCCCAUCAUGGCUUACGACCAUUACCUCGACUUGCUCACCCGUUUUGGGUAAUUAGGCAGCGGGGUGAUUAUGAUUCUUUUCACACCUUGAUUUGGUAAUCCGAGAAAUAUGGGCUGAUCUUGCCCAUAAUGAGCUUGAGAUUGUCUCGUAGCCCGAGUGAGUAGCGACUCUAGAUGGCCUUGGGGCCGGAUUAUUAGUGAUUCUGACUCUUGAAGGCCUUGAGGCCAUCAUUCAACCUGAAUGGGCCCAAGAUAAUCUCAGGGCCAUAUCUCUUCUAUCGUCUCAUGACGGCCUUGGGGUCGUGGAUCAGAUGAAGUGAGUUCAUCAUCAUGUACUUUGGUGACACAGCAAUGAACAGUUCCACCUAUCUCAAGCUCUUCCAUGAGUUUCAAUUAUUAGAACCAAUUUAGUUUUAGUAGAUCAUCUAAGAUUGAAGACUCUACUUUUUUCUUUUGGAGCGGCACUUUCAUCCCGUUCAUCUGUUUAAAUCACAGGCUCCGAUAGACUUUCUUCCAGAACUGAAACCGAUUUUGAAGUCCCUCUCAACUAGCUUGCCUCACAGAGAUGUGGGCAACGUUAAUCAAUUUGGGCAAUGUGUGCGUAAGGAUUGAGAUUUUUUCGGCUUGAGGAAGUGCGUGGAAAUAAGAACACAACAGUAUAUGAUGAAGAGAGAGAACGUUGGCGUGCAAGAUGAAGAGAGAGAAUACCACUAUGUGCGAUGAAGAGAGAGGGACGCUGUCAUGUGCGAUGAAGAGAGAAUGUCGUUGUGCACGAUGAAGAGAGAGGGAUGUCGUCGUGCAUGAUGAAGAGAGAGAAUUCCACCAUGGUCGAUGAAGAGAGAGGGAUGCCGUCGUGCACGAUGAAGAGAGAUAAUAUCGUCAUGCGUGAAAGAGCACAGGUCACUAUGUGUGAGAGGGAUGGCAUCAUGCAUGUAAGAGAGCAAGCAGCCGUGCGUGCAAGGGAUGCCACCGUGCUUGUAAGAGAGCAAGCCGCUGCGCGCGACGAAGAAAGAGAAUGCCACCGAGCACAACAUUGUCGUGAGUGUUACUGUCGAGCGUGUAUGCCUAAGGAACUUUUAUGCAUGUCUGCCACUUGGAUGCCAUAGUAAGCUACCUAGAUGCCAAUAAAUUCCACUUAUAGCCCCUACCAGUUACCUCCCCCUCUUGAUUUAUAAAUACUACCCCUCUCACCCCUCCUAGGACUUUUGCUAUCUCUCACUCACGAGCCCCCUUUUCAAUCACUUAGAAUCUCUACCUCUUGGAGCCAUUUUUUGGGGGCUUAGGAACUUGGCCUGUGUGGGGAUUUUGGGAUACUAUUGGGUGCAUGUAAGUAGAUCUAAAAUUCAUGUCUCCAUAGUUUCGGCUAUAAGCACGAUUUUUUAAUAAGGAUGUGGCUACAUGCUAUGAAAUUUAUGUUAGAAUAUGCAUGUUUUUCCAAGACUGUGAUUCUUAUUAGCAUGAUAAAUUGAGCAUUGAAAUCAUUUCUACUGGCUAUGAAAAUUUGAAGAAAGUACCCAUGUGCUUCUAUUUUAAGAUGGAAAAGACCUUGUGUUAAUGUUAAUCCUGGUUUGGAAGUUAUGGGUCAUUUCCUAAAGUAUGUCAAAACUGAACUGCAUUUCCAAGAACUUUGCAUGUUUUUAAUAGGGACAAUUAACUAAAAAAAUGAUGUUUAAAUGAUCUCAAAUUAAUUUUAAAUGAACUAUGGGUAUGUCUAAUUCAAAUUUUGUUUUGGAACUAUGUUGAAAUUCUUUAUGGUUUGGGAAUUAUGCCUCUAUCUGUAUGAAUAUGUCAUUAUUGUGAGUUGCAGUGAAUUUCUAGAACUACUGCAUAUUUUGUACUAAACCUUUUUUACUGACCAAAUGGUGUCCAAAUAAUCACAAACUACUUUUAAAUCAAAUAGGGGUAUCUCUACUUCAAAUUUCGUUUUGAACCAUGUUGAAAUUCUUUAUGGUUUGGGAAUUAUGCCUUGGUUUGUAUGAAUAUAUCAUUGUUGUGAGUUGCAGUGAAUUUCUAAAACUAUUGCAUGUCUUGUACUAAACGUUUUACUGACCAAAUGGUGUCCAAAUUAUCUCAAAACUUUUAAAUAAAAUAUGGCUAUGUCUAAUUAAAAUUUUGCUUUGGAACCAUGUAGAAAUUAUGUAUGGAUUUAUGGUUUGGGAAUUAUGCUUUUAUUUGUAUGAAUAUGUCACUGUUGUGAGUUGCAGUAAAUUUUUAGAACUAUUGCAUGUAUUGUACUGAACUGUUUACUAACUAAAUGGUGUCCAAAUGAUUUUAAACCGCUUUUAAAUGAAAUAUGGGUCUAACUACUUCAAAUUUAGUUUGGAACCAUGUUGAAAUUCUUGAUAGUUUGAGAAUUAUGCCCAUGUUUAUAUGAAUAUGUCUUUGUUGUGGUUGCAGUGAAAUUCCAGGAUUUUUAUUUGUUUUAUGAGAGACUGUUUACUGACCAAUAUGUCUCUGAUUAAGGCUAAACCAAUUCUAGAUAAAAUUUGGAUGAAUCUAUUUUCAAAUUGGUUUUGGGACCAUGACAAAACUCUUUAGGGAUUGGAAGUUAAGCCACAUUUUCUAAGAGGUUAUCAUACUGAAAACUCUGUUCUGUUAUAAAUUAUUGAAUAUGCAUAGUUGAAAUGAGGCAUGCUUAUGAUAUAGUGAAUGCUCAUGAACUAUUGAAUAAUUAUGAUGAGUCAUGCUUGAGCAUGAAUGAAUGCUUAUGAGAUAUGCAUGUACAUGAUUGUAAUAAGACAUGCCUAUGAUAAGAAUGUGAUAUGAAAAUACUAUGCAAUGGGACAUCCAUUGGUGGUGGAUCUGAUAUGAUAAGGUUGUGAUGUGAAACAUUACGUAAUGGGACAUCCAUUGGUAGUGUGAUAUGAGAUAUUGAGACUACUGAAUGAAGCACUACGCAAUGGGUCAUCUACUGGUAGUAUAAUAUGUUAUGAUAUAAUAUGAGUGUUAUGCCGACAGUUAAGAUCUUCCCUUGACUCUUGAUGAUAGGAAGGAGUUAGGAUGUAAAUAUGAAUGUUUGGGAGGGUCGUGCCCCCCAAAUCUUUAUGAGUACUACGCAUUGGGUUACCCAUUGGUAGUGUAACGCCCUCUCGCUAGAAAGGCAUAAGGAGAUGGUCGUGUCUUGCAGGGCCACAACCUAUCAAAUGCCCUGAAAGCGUGAUGGGGAUUGUGUGUGAGUGUGAAGACAUUACGAAAUGGGUCAUCCAUUAUUCAUUGUCUUCCCUCUUGAGUCUGAGUAGAAGUCCCAAGUAACAGGAUUGGAAUGACUUCUACUUCAGGAGUAGGAGACACUAGGAUUGCAUGUAUCCACUAUGUGUUUUUCUUGAAUUACUAAUAUGUUAUUUUGAUGAAAAGAUGUGGUAGACUGUUAUCUCAUGUGAUGUAUGAUAUUCUGACAUUUGAUUUACACUUCCACCAUUGCUAAAGAAUUGCACUACAUGACUCCAUGUUAUGACACCUGGAUGAAUAUUGGGGGAUGUUUAUGAAUAACAUUGUAUAGGCCGGAAUAUAUGAUGUUUGAUUAGCUUAUUAGGCUUUAUAGCUCAUUCCUCUAAUUUUCUCGGUUAUAAAGCGAUAUCCUGCGGUUUUUUAGAGUGGGCGGCUGAGUAAAUCAUGGCUGGUGGUUGAAGAUUCAGAUUUGACGAGAAGCUUUAUCCUGAUAGUAGGUGUUAGAUGGCAGCGGCUGUAUAGUUGUCUUAUUGAAGUCUUGUGUUUUGUUGUUGGGCUUGUAGUGCUUGGGACAUGAUUGUAAUAAAUUUUUGGAGCCUGUGUAUAAAAAUUGGUUUUAUUUUGUCAAGUUCUUUGUACCCUGGUGCUUGGGUUUUUGUUUUGUUUCGUGGUUUGCUUUGAUUCCGUCUUUCCAAAAGCGUUGAGCGCACUCUCACCUAAGUGGUAUUUGCUACCUCUGGUCGCAGUCCCACAUUCUGUUGCCCUCCGACAAGUACGGUAGGGGUUAGGGGGUAGGGUCGUGACAGUUAUAGUAUUAGAGCAGCCAAAAUAGGAUUCUUGGCCUAGAGAGUCUUAGAAGUUUCUUUAAAAUAGGGUUUGGAUAGGCUAGUAACUGGGUGUUCCUGUUUUUGGUCAAGAUGGCAAGGACACGUGCCAACAAUGCGAGUUCUAGUAAUGAUAACAUCGAGGCCUUCGGAUAAUUCUUCAAGACAUUAAGGGCCAUGUUUGAGAUGAUGAAAGAUCAUAUGCCAACCGUGGCUACCUCUACCUCAGAUCAGACUGAUAGUGGUAUGAUGGAGAGAUUUAGGAUGCUAGCACCUUUAGCAUUCUUAGGGCAUGGGGGAGUGGAAAAAGCUGAGCGAUAGAGGAGACAAGUGGAGAAUAUAUUUGAUGUAUUGCAUUGUUCUAAUGAGCAAAAGGUUAGACUGGGGAUUUUCAUGUUCGAAGGGGAUGCUGAGCACUGGUGGGGUUCAGUGAAGCAAUCUUAGGAGGAGUCAGGGACCAUGGCUACUUGGGAAAACUUUUUAAAGGCUUUUAAUGAGAAAUAAUUCCCUGAUUCAGUCCGAGAGAGAAAAGAACUGGAAUUUAUUAGGCUGCAGUAAGGGAAACUAUCAGUUGAACAGUAUGCAGUAAAUUUUGUAGAUCUCUCCCGUUACGCACCACACAUUAUCAAUACAGAGGCACGUAAGGCGAACAAGUUUGAGAGGGACCUCGGGCCUGAUAUAAGAGGGAGAAUAUUAUCAACCAACCUCAAGACCUUCUCCCUAUUAGUGGACCUCGCUAUGAAGAACGAGAGGGAUUGUGAGGAAUUUCGGUUGAGGAAAGAAGGGAGAGUGGGGCCCAUGCCAUCUAGGAACUUUGGGAGGAAGAUUCAACCACCUCCUAGGAAACGUUUUAGGGGAAAAAACAAUCAGGGCAAUACAAAAAUCCAAAAGGCCUUCCCGAGCAAUGUAAGGGAUAACCGGCGCCCAACCUGCUCGUGUUGUGGGUUGAGUAAUCAUUCUGCAGCUGAAUAUUAUAAGAAGGCGGGAUCUUGUUUUCGAUGUGGCAAGCCUGGUCACCUGAUCAAGGACUAUCCUGUAAAGGAGCCAAAGAACCGACCAAGGACUCAAGGUCGGGUGUUUGUGCUCACGGAGCAGGAAGCCAAGGCGUCUACCUCUGUAAUCGGAGAUACGCUCUAUGUCUGUGGUAUGGAAGCUAGAAUCUUUAUUGACCCUGGAUCUUCUCAUUCUUUUGUUGGACCUCACUUUGCAUGCCAUAUAAAUGCUAGACAUUUGCUUCUUGACUAGACAUUAGUAGUAUGUACACCUAUGAGGGAUUCUAUAGAAACUGAUAUGGUAUAUAAACACUGUAAGGAUUUUCCUGAAGGGUAUAUCCUACCUAUACAAUUGAUACUUUUGAAUAUUCAGGAUUUUUAUAUUAUCUUGGGCAUGGAUUGGUUUUCCACACAUCAUGCUACAGCUAAUUGUUAUGAUAAGACGGUGACCUUAAGACGCCCAAACCAGCAGGAGUUACACUUUGUUGGUAUUAAGGAUGCUCCCCCCUACACCUUAUUUCUGCCCUUUGGGCUUCCCGUCUUCUAACUAAGAGAUGUAUUGGAUACUUAGCCUAUGUGGUAGAGAAUCGGGAUGUCCAGCCCAAGUUAGAAGAGAUACCAGUCGUAAGAGAAUACCUAAACGUUUUUCUUGAAUAAUUGUCCUCUUUGCCUCCAGUUAGGGAGAUAAAGUUUGCAAUAGAUGUGGUCCCUUAUACUGCUUCCAUUUCCAAAGCCCCUUAUAGGAUGGCCCUAAUAGAAUUGAAGGAGCUGAAAGAGAAAUUACAGGAGUUGUUGGAGAAGGGGUUCAUCCAACCCAGCAUGUCAACUUGGGGUGCAUCAGUUCUGUUUAUGAAGAAGAAAGAUGGGUCCAUGAGACUUUGUAUAGACUAUAGGUAGUUGAAUCAGGUCACAAUAAAGAACAAAUACCCCCUGCCUAGGAUUGACGACCUCUUUGACCAGCUUCAAGGGGCCCAAGUAUUCUCUAAGAUUGAUCUUCGGUCUGGCUAUCACCAACUGCGGGUCAAAAAAGGAGAUGUUCCCAAGACCACAUUCAGAAUCCGAUAUGGCCACUAUGAGAUUUUGGUAAUGCCGUUUAGGUUGACCAAUGCCUCAGUUGUUUUCAUGGACCUGAUGAAUAGAAUUUUCAGACCCUUUCUGGAUACUUUUGUUGUGGUCUUCAUAGAUGAUAUUUUGGUGUAUUCAAAGAAUCUAGAAGAGCAUGAGCAGCAUCUAAGAGUUGUCCUCCAGACUCUGAAGUCAGAAAAGUUGUAUGCUAAGUUGAGCAAAACUAAGUUUUAGCUUCCUAGCGUGACCUUCCUUGGGCACGUUGUUUCUAAGGACGAGGUUGCAGUUGACCCUUGUAAGAUUGAAUUCGUACUUAAGUGGGGAAGGCCAACAAGCGUGAUAGAGGUCUGCAGUUCUCUGAGAUUAGUAGGCUACUAUAGAUUCUUUGUAGAAGGAUUUUCAAAAAUUGCAUUUCCCCUAACUUGUCUGACCCAAAAGGAAAUAAAAUUUGUGUGGUCAGACCAUUGUGAGAAAAUUUUUCAAGAACUGAAGAAGAGACUGACCAUGGCACCGAUACUGAACUUAGCCAAAAGAAAUGAGGAUGUGGUUUACACCGAUACCUAUCAUAAAGGACUUGAUUGUGUGCUUAUGCAGCGAGGGAAGGUCAUUGCUUAUGGAUCCAGACAAUUAAAGCCAUAUGAACAAAAUUACCCAACUGAUGACUUGGAGCUUGUGGCUGUAGUAUUUGCCUUGAAAAUCUAGAGACACACAUUUAUGGGGCGCAGUUUAAGGUAUUUACAGACCAUAAGAGCCUCAAGUACUUGUUUUCUCAGAAGGAGUUGAACAUGAUGCAAAGUAGGUGGAUUGAUCUAUUGAAUGAUUAUGUUUGUACCAUCAAUUAUCACCCGGGAAAGUCUAAUGCGGUAGCAGAUGCAAGGAAUCUCGUGAUAUCGAUGGCUCACCGAAUGGUUCGAGAGAUGGGACUAUUAGAGGUUGCAGUGGAAUGACACCCAACUCUGCCUCUUAUUGAUGGGGUAAGUAUGACUGCUUGUAUAAGGGUGGAGCCCCAGCUCUUUCAACAUAUCUGAAUGGCACAAAAGAAGGAUCCCCAGCUCAUGAAAAUUCUGGAACAAAUAAAACUGGGAAGGAAAGAUGAUUUUUCUAUAAGUGGUGAUGACUCGUUAAGAUUCAGGGAUUGAGUCUGUGUUCCGAAUGAUGAGGGUGUGAAGAGAGCUACUUUAGAAGAAGCCCACCGCUCCCAUUAUGCUAUACACCCCAGGAGUACUAAGAUGUAUCAAGACUUGAAGAAACCUUUCUGGUGGAAUGACAUAAAAAGGGAAGUAGCACUGUUUGUUUCUAAGUGCUUGACAUGGUAGCAGGUGAAAGCUGAGCAUCAAAAGCUCACCGGAUUGUUGCAGCCCUAGCUCAAGUCAUAAUGGAAAUGGGAACACAUCACUAUGGACUUUGUCUCUGGUUUACCUAGAACAAGUACUGGACACGAUAGUAUUUGGGUCAUUGUGGACAGGCUUCUAGGCUAGUAUUCAGAUGGUGCCUUUUGAGGCCCUGUAUGGGAGGAAGUGCAGGUCACCUAUAUGUUGGGAUGAGGUUGAUGUAAGGAGACUUUUAGGGCCAGAAAUUGUUCAAGUAACUUAAAAAAAGAUCGCUUUGAUUCGAGAGAGGCUCAUGACAACUCAGAGUCGGCAAAAGAGUUAUACCGAUAACCGAAGAAGAGACCACGAGUUUGAGGUAGGCGAUUGGGUAUUUCUAAAGGUGUCGCCAACUAAGGGCGUUAUGAGGUUCGGUGAUAAAGGAAAAAUUGAGCCCACGAUAUAUUGGACCUUUUGAAUUAUGGAAAAAGUUGGAAGCGUGGCAUAUCGACUUGCCCUGCCACCCGAGUUGGCAAACAUCCACGAUGUCUUUCAUAUAUCUUUAUUAAGGAAGUACCAUCCUGACUUGUCCCAUAUUUUGAGAUAUGAACCAGUUCCGAGCAGAGAACACUUGACUUACAUCAAGUAACCUAUUGAGAUACCAGAUCGAAGAGUGUAGGUGUUGCACAAUAAAGAAAUUCCCUUGGUCCAUGUUUUGUGGCAAUACCAUUCACAGGAAGAAUCGACCUGGGAACAGGAAAGUGAAAUCCGAGAUAAAUACCUCCAUUUAUUCUAAUAGCAAAAAUAUGAUUUUGAGGAUAAAAUCCUUUUAAGGGGGGAUGAUGUAAGGACCGAGAUUUUUUUGGCUUGAGGAAGUGCGGGACAAUAAUAACACAGCAGUAUGCAAUGAAGACAGAGAAUGAUGCCAUGCACGAGGGAUGUCGUCAUGCGUGAUGAAAAGAGAAUACCGUCAUGUGCGAUGAAGAGAGAGAAUUUCAUCGUGCGUGAGGAAGAGAGAGGGAUGCCACAGUUCACGAUGAAGAGAGAGAAUUUCACAGUGUGUGUAAGAGAGCAAGCCACCAUGCAUGCAAGGGAUGUCGUCGUGCAUGUAAGAGAGCAAGCCACCGUGUGUGCAAGGGAUGCCUCCAUGCAUGUAAGAGAGCAAGCUGCUAUGCACGACGAAGAAAGAGAAUGUUACCAAGCACGACACUGUCAUGAUUGUUACUGUCGAGCAUGGAUGUCUAGGGAACUUUUAUGCAUGUCUGCCACAGUAAGCUACCAGGAUGACACUGAAUGCCACUUUUAGCCCCUUGGUUGCCACCUGCCAACUGCCUCCCCUUCUUGAUUUAUAAAUAGUACCCCUCUUACCCCUCCUAGGACUUUUGCACACUCUCACUCACAAGCCCCCUUUUCAAACACUUAGAAUCUCUACCUCUUGGAUCCAUUUUUUGGGGGCUUGGGAACUUAGCCAUUGUGGGGAUUUUGGGACACUAUUUAGUGCAUGUAAGUAGAUAUAACAUUCAUGUCUCCAUAGUUUUGGCUAUAAGCUUGAUUUUGAAUCAGGAGGUGGUUGCAUGCUAUGAAAUUUAUGUUAGAAUAUGUAUGUUUUUCUAGGACUAUGAUUCUUAUUAGCAUGAUAAAUGGAACAUUGAAAUCAUUUCUAUUGGCAAUGAAAAUUUGUGAGAAAGUACCCCUGUGCCUUUAUUUUAAGAUGAAAAAUACCUUGUAUCAAUUUCCAUUCCGGUUUGGAAGUUAUGGAUCAUUUCCUUAAGUACGCCAAAACUAUGAACGACAUUUCUACGAACUUUGCAUGUUUUUAAUUGAGACUGUUUACUAAUCAAAUUUUCUCAAAAUGAUCUCAAACCACUUUUAAAUGAAAUAUGGGUAUGUCUACUUCACAUUGGUUUUUGGAAUCAUGUUGCAAUUCUUUAUUGUUUGAGAAUUAUACCUCUGUUUGUAAGAAUAUGUCACUGUUAUGAGUUGUAGUGAAUUUUCAGAACUAUUGCAUGUUUUGUACUGCACUAUUUAUUGACCAAAUGGUGUCCAAAUAAUCUCAAACCACAUGUAAAUGAAAUAUGAGUUUUAAAUUUGGUUUUGGAACCAUGUUGAAAUUAUUUAUGGUUUGGGAAUUAUUCCUUUGUUUGUAUAAAUAUGUUUUUGUUAUGAGUUGCAGUGAAUUUCCAGAAUUAUUGUAUGAAUUUUAUUGAACUGUUUACUGACCAAAUGGUGUCCAAAUAAUCUCAAACAACUUUUAAAUUAAAUAUGGAUAUGUAUACUUCAAAUUUAGUAUUGGAACCAUGUUGAAAUUCUUUAUGAUUUAGGAAUUAUGCCUUUGUUUGUAUGAAUAUAUCACUGUUGUGAAUUGCAAUAAAUUUUCAGAACUAUUGCAUAUUUUGUACUAAACUGUUUACUAACCAAAUGGUGUCAAAAUGAUCUUAAACAGCUUUUAAAUGAAAUAUGGCUAUGUCUACUUCAAAUUUCGUUCGGAACCAUGUUGAAAUUCUUGAUGGUUCGAGAAUUAUGCCCAUGUUUGUAUGAAUAUGUCUUUGUUGUGGUUGCAGUGAAAUUCUUGAAUUUUUAGAUGUUUUAUGAGAGAUUGUUCAAUUACCAAUAUGUCUCUGAUUAAGGCUAAACCACUACUAAAUAAAAGGUGGAUGAAUCUAUUUUCAAAUUGGUUUUGGGACCAUGACAAAACUAUUUAUGGAUUGGAAGUUAGGCCAAAUUUUCUAAGAGGUUAUCAUACUGAAAACUCUAUUAUGUUAUGAAUUGAUGAAUACGCAUAGUUGAAUUGAGGCAUGCGUAUGAUAAAGUGAAUUCUCAUGAACUCUUGAAUAAUUGUGAUGAGUCAUUCUUGAGCAUGAUUGAAUGCUUAUGAGAUAUGCAUGUGCAUGAUUGUAAUACGACAUGCCUAUGAUAAGAAUGUGAUAUGAAAACACUAUGUAAUGGGAUAUCCAUUGGUGUUGAAUCUGAUAUGAUAAGACUAUGAUAUGAAAUACUAUGCAAUGGGAUAUCCAUUGAUAGUGUGAUAUGAGAUACUAAGACUACUGAAUGAAGCACUACGUAAUGGGUCAUCCGUUGGUAGUGUAAUCUGUUGUGAUAUAAUAUGAAUGUUAUGCUGGCAGUUAAGAUCUUCCCCUGACUCCCGAUGAUAAGAAGGGAGUUAGGAUGUGAAUAUGAAUGUUUGGGAGGGUUGCACCCCCAAAUCUUUAUGGGCACUACGCAUUGGGUUACCCAUUGGUAGUGUAACGCUCUCUCGCCAUAAAGGCAUAAGGAGAGGGUCAUGUCUUGCAGGGCCACAGCCUAUCAAAUGCCCCGAAAGCGUGAUGGGGAUUGUGUGUGAGUGUGAAGACAUUACGAAAUGGGUCAUCCAUUUGUCAUUGUCUUCCCUUCUGAGUCUAGGUAGAAGUCCCAAGUAACAUGAUUGGCUUGACUUCUAUUUGAGGCGUAGGCGACACUAGGAUUGCCUAUAUGCACUAUGUGGUUUGCAUGAAUUACGAAUUUGUUAUUUUGAUGAGAAGAUGUGGUAGACUGUUAGCUCAUGUGAUGUAUGAUAUUUUGACAUCUGAUUUACACUUCUCCCACCAUUGCUAAAUAAUUGUGCUACAUGACUCCAUGUUAUGACACCUGCAUGAAUCUUGGGGGAUGUUUAUGAAUAGCAUUGUAAAGGCCAGAAUGCAUGAUAUUUAAUUUACUUAUUGGGAUUUAUAGUUCAUUCAUCUGAUUUUCUCUGUGUAGACUGUUAGCGUGCGGUUUUUUAGACUGGGGGUUGGGUAAAUCGUGGCUAGCAGUUGAAGAUUCGGGCCUGGGAGAAAAGCUUUAUCCUGAUAGUAGGUGUUUGAUGACGGUGGCCAUAUAGUUGUUUAGUUGAAGUCUUGUGUUUUGUUGUUGGGCAUGUAGUGUCUAGGACAUUAUUGUAAUAAAUUUUUGGAGCUUG